CAGUCACUCAAUAGGUGGAUCAUUUAGGGUCGGAAGCCCCGUGUGAAAUCAGAUGUUUAACUGUCCAGCUGAAGCGGGACACGAGCAUCUUAACCAGCACCUUGCCAAAGGUCUCGUGUUCAAUCAACCGACCGGGGCUGCUGUUCACCUGCAAGAGGGCGGGGAAUCGGCAAAUUGAGGUCAAAGCUACGCUCAAUGAGAAGACAGCAGAGGAGAAGACCUAGUUUUCGGUUAGCAGAGCAGAGAGCCGAGGGAGGAGGAGCAUCACUGCGAAAACCUUUGCCAGCAUUUGUCCAUCCAGCAGCCAGCAGUCAUGGCAGCUGGAUGGAGGUUCAGCUGAAGAGCUUGUCCUUGAAGUUACUUCACCCUUAAGAAGGCAAUUCUUGAAAUGGACAGACUGCAUCACUCCAAUGUGAGGGGCCUUUAACAUCUUAAUGAUUUUUUUUUUUCAAUCGUAUACACUACCUAUUUAAAGUAAAUAGUUCAACAAUUCUGUAAUACCAGACUAUAAAGGUGGAAUAUAAAUGUUUAUAAUGUUUGAUGUGUUUCUUUCCUUUCCUAGUCAGAAUGUCCUGAAUGACAUUUUUCGUGUUGUUAAGUUGAACAAAUUAUUGGCUUAAAGUAAUAAUAAUCUAUAUUUCAUGGUUAAGUUUCUUUACACUGUUUUCUAUAAAAGUGUAGCACUUUUGUUUGGAGUCACAAAAAGCAUCUUCUCCUAGAGCAAUAGACCCACAAGCCAAACUCCAAAAUCUUAAUGAGUGUACCCAGAUAGACAAGAAAUUGCAUCCAAAUAAAAGAAUAAUAAAGGCA
ensembl:lncRNA